rnacentral:lncRNA from 1 species
ACUUUGACCUAGAGGAGCAAGCCAAGGUGAUAGUUGCCCCCCGGAGCAACAAUGAGAUGGAUGCGUCCAAGCUGAAGAACGAGUUCCCUGAGUUGCUGCCAAUCAAAGAGUCAUUAAUCAAGUAUGUCUUUGAACCCAACAAGAGAACCUAAGCCAAAGAUUCAGGUGCAGACCCUAUUUUGCAUUGCAUUACCUCCGAGUGUCCUAAUUAUAUUAAAAAUUUUCUGGUCUACCUGCCAUUCAUUAUUAGAUUCAUCUCAUUGUUUCUGCCAUGUUAGAGAGUAAGGAGGUUAAUUCUAUCACUACUUUAGGAACACUUAUCUCAGUUACUUAUCUCGGUUUGUAUUUUUAUUUGCUUAGUAUCAUCCCUUUCCACAGGAA